AACGAACGCUGGCGGCAUGCCUAACACAUGCAAGUCGAACGAGACCUUCGGGUCUAGUGGCGCAUGGGUGCGUAACGCGUGGGAACCUGCCCUUAGGUUCGGAAUAACUCCCCGAAAGGGGUGCUAAUACCGGAUAAUGUCUUCGGACCAAAGAUUUAUCGCCUUUGGAUGGGCCCGCGUUGGAUUAGCUAGUUGGUAGGGUAAAAGCCUACCAAGGCGACGAUCCAUAGCUGGUCUGAGAGGAUGAUCAGCCACACUGGGACUGAGACACGGCCCAGACUCCUACGGGAGGCAGCAGUGGGGAAUAUUGGACAAUGGGCGAAAGCCUGAUCCAGCAAUGCCGCGUGAGUGAUGAAGGCCGUAGGGUUGUAAAGCUCUUUUACCCGGGAUGAUAAUGACAGUACCGGGAGAAUAAGCGCCGGCUAACUCCGUG
rnacentral:rRNA from 1 species